CUCGUGGUGGGAAACCAUAUAACCUCUCUGAGCUUGGUUUCUCCAUCUGUAAAGUGGAAAUAUUAAUAUUGCACACAGUUAUAUGAGUCAACUACAACAAUGGAGGAAGAAUGUUUAGGGCAAAGCACUCCAAUCUUACUUCAAAUAAACUCAUCAUAAUCCCUUACAUUCCAAAUUCUACUCACCUCCCCCCAACUACCACCUGCAAUCUUCAUUUGGCAUGGGCAUCCAUUAAAUCAAGCAUGGCCGGUGGGUGUCCCUGUCCCCGCACAGAUGACCAUGUAUCUUUCUUUUCAUCCUGGGAACAGCAAGAGACCACCCCUUGCUAUGCAUAUUUACCCAAUGUGGCUCAUGUAGGUGGCCAACAGCACCCAAUGUUCUCCCCAAAUUAUGUGUACUUCCACUAAUACAGCUGAUGAAUCAUUUAAAAGAUUGGUAUUGUUGAAUGGUAUUCAUAGUCCUAACUACUUAGGCUUCAGACUGUUUAGCCUGAGGAUGAUCAUAGAGAUAAUAUAGAUAGACACUGAAUUCCUGUGCUGUGACUGUCAUAACAAAUGAUCGCAAACCUGGUGACUUAAACAACAGAAAAUUAUUCUCUCACAGUUAUGAAGAUCAGAGUCUGAUGUCAAGAUUUCUGCAGAGUCGUGCUGUCUUUGAAGGCUCUAGAAAAGAACCCCUCCUAGCUUCUUCCAGCUGCUGGUGGCUCUAGAUGUUCCUUGGCUGGUGCCUGUAUUACUCCACUUUCUGCUUCUGCCUCCAUGUGGCUUUCUUCUCUGUGUGUCCGUGUCUUCUCUUCUGUCUUUAAUAAGGACACUUGUCACCAGCUAAUCCAGGAUGACAUCAUCUCAAGAUCCUUAACCUAAGUACAUCUGCAAAGACCUUUUUUCCAAAGGAGGAAAUUCAUAGGUUCUGGGGGCUAAGACAUGGACAGAACUUUUUGGGGCCACCAUUCAACCCACCACUGAUCAUUGGCUCAGUCUUCCACUUCACAGAUGAACGCACCCUUUCCUGCCAGAGGAUGAUAAAUGCUCUGGAGAAAAAUAAAGCAGAAGAGAGAUACA
rnacentral:lncRNA from 12 species